rnacentral:hammerhead_ribozyme from 1 species
GUCCGGCUGAUGAGUCUUAAAUAAGAUGAAACGCGCGUCUUGGAU